CGCCUUUGGUUUUGGUGGGACACGGCCGUGAUGGCUAGUUGGGUGUGGUACAAGCUGGGUGAUGGGUAGGAGAGAAUUCAUCGGCCGAUGGCGAUCGUUUCAUGGCUGUGCAUUCUUACUGAUUACUUGGCUGGGGGUGCAGUGUGCUGGACUUGUACUGUGUGGAGCCAAUGGAGUUGAAACUUUCAAUAAAGUGUUACAACACGUGGUUUCCAGUGCUACCCCGAGCCAAUCACAGUACAGUUAUUACCAGUCAUAGUCCGGUCCGCAAGUUUUUGUGUCAGCUGUGUGGCGCUCCUCUCGUCCAGUCAAUGUAGUGGUGAAGGAGUGCACAGUACGGAGGGAGGUCACGGCACAUGGCUAGAAGCAGCAGCAGCAGCAGCAGCAGAAGGAAGUUCACUUCCAUCUCCCCAACGCCUUUGGUUUUGGAGUUUAUGGUGAUAAGUACGAAAGUUUGUAGAAAAGGAUGAAUUGGAAAGAUUAGAUUGUCGUGUUUUGUUAAUGAUGGUGUAAAAAUGUGCGAAAAUGGAAUAUUUGAUUUCAAAAGGAUAAAUGAUCAGGUUUUCUCCCCAACGCCUUUGUUUCUAGGAGUCUGUGGUGAUGAGUGUGAAAGUUUGUAGAAAAGGAUGAAAUGGAAAGAGUAGACUGUCAUGUUUAGUUAGUGAUGGACUGAUGGUAUAGAAUUAGUGUGCAAAAAUAGAAUGAUGAGUGAUUUCAAAAGGAUAUUCAUGUGAUUUUUUUUUUCAAUUCAGUUUGUUUUGCUCUUGAUCUUGAGUAUUUGUGAUCAGUGGCCGUCCUAUACGUACAUGUACAUACAUUUACUUUACCACAUAGCGGCUCCUUUUCUUACAUAUUUUUAUUCACGAUGAAUUCUUAAUGAGGAAGUCUUGGCUACUUAAACUCUGACUGUGAAAGAUAUUAUGAGACUCGU